UGAGUGGUCGAAGGCACCGGUUUCGAAAACCGGCAUGCGGGCAACUGCAUCGAGGGUUCGAAUCCCUCCCUCUCCGCCA
rnacentral:tRNA from 1 species